UACGUAGGGUGCGAGCGUUGUCCGGAAUUAUUGGGCGUAAAGAGCUCGUAGGCGGUGUGUCACGUCGGCCGUGAAAACCUGCAGCUUAACUGUGGGCGUGCGGUCGAUACGGGCAUCACUGGAGUUCGGCAGAGGAGAGUGGAAUUCCUGGUGUAGCGGUGAAAUGCGCAGAUAUCAGGAAGAACACCCGUGGCUAAGGCGGCUCUCUAGUACGGUACUGACGCUGAGACGCGAAAGCGUGGGGAGCGAACAGG
rnacentral:rRNA from 1 species